rnacentral:misc_RNA from 1 species
CCUGAAAUGUUGAGCAAGAAGAUGGAAAAUAAGAGUUCUCAGAAAAAUCCAAUGGCUGAUGAACCCAUAAGUAUUGGAAGUGCUGAUCUUUUAAAUGAAUAAGACCUUCAUGCCAUAGCAGAAUCCCACUGACAAAACAACGUGCUAUAUUUAAAGUAUGAAACGUAAUACAUACAGAAAUCCAAGAGCAUGCACAUGAUUGUAAAUGACAUAAAUGAAAUUUUGCAUAAUGAAUGCAAAAUAUUAUCCCCAAGAUAAAAAUGCAAUAAACUAGCAAUCCAAAAAGUUCCCUUUUUUCCAGAAAAAUGAAAUUGUCAAAGAACUUUAAAGGGUUCAGAUAUACUUCUCUACCACCGUAGCUCAAUAUUAUUUAUACUCGGUCCUGACGAAUUUAAACAAUACUUCAAAAUAUCAGUGGUUCUUUUUGAUGCACACACAGAUAUAGAAUACAAUAUAAGACUUGGAAGCACCAGACAACUCACCAACAGCUCCAGCAAUGAAAUGUGCCCAGUGGCCUCCAAGGCUAGGAUGUGAUUCUUCGAUCCACUUUUUGCUAGACUCUAUAAAACCAAAAUAUGUUGCUCCAGUUGCAAGAGACCCAGUAACUCCAGGAGUUAUACCUCUAUAAAAGCCUAAAAGUAAUCAGUUCAGAUCAAAUCCAUAAUCAGGUAGGCACUAGAACAUCAACCGAAGAGAAAAAUGCAACAGUUAGAUAUCAGCAGAUAACCAUAAAUCAUGUAUUUGUCAUCUUAGUACCACAAUACAUAAAAUAAAUAAUCAGUAGUAAAAAUUCAAAUACCAAAUUUAAAUUACUAAGAAGUUGAAAAUAUUGAACCAGUUAUCAGAAGAAGAAAUGGAAUUUAUGAUGAUGUACCUCUUACUCUAUCAGCAGCCCAGACUGUCCGGACCAUCUGCAGUAUGCUCUUUUGGCU